CAGUUUAGGUCAGUUCCAGUCAGUUUCGCUACCUCCAUCUUUUUCUUCCCAUGUUAUCCGCAAAUCAAGUUUCCAGUUGCAAAACUGGAUCGUGGGUUUAGAGUUCAAGCGGUUUAUUCCCUUUGUCAGUUCACCCCCACUCUCCUAAAUUUUUGCAACUACAACAACUUCAUAUACCACUAACUCGCUUUUGGAUUGAAGAAGACACAAGCUCCCCAAGAAACGCACCAAAAGACCAUGUACGUCCUCUUUCCCGAUCCCAACAUCGGAUAUACUAAAUUUUUUUAGCAGUUUAUUUUGAUGGAUUCACACUUCUUGCAGCGUCUCAUUUCUCCCAAACUUCAAUGUUCGCCUUCCUUCUCUCUACCUCAACCUUUUUCUCUUAUGGCUAAGGAUCUGAAGGUUCAAUUUAACAGGUAAUGGCCGUUACUAAUGUGAAAUUGGGAUUUUAGGGUUCAUAUUUGGUUUAUUAUCUGGUCAAUUGCAAUUUGUAUCUUCUCAAUGAGAACCCCACAAAACAGCGUUUGUGGAGGAACCUCCCCGUUUCUUUUGACCUCCGACGUCGGAAGUGACGAUCACGAUUCUCGGUUAGCCAUCGCCGAUCUCAUAAUUUUUCCCUCUCCACCGUUACGAGACCCAAAGAUGUCCCUUUCUCAUAUGCAGGUAGGCAUAUGAUGAUGGUGAGUGGUGGCAGGCAUUGAUUUGUGUCUGGCUUUAUUCAACAUCUAACAGUGUUCUGUUUUUGUUGCGCACCAGUUGUUCGACGAAUUGUCUGAUACUCUGAUUCUCACGUUGGACUACUUGGAAUUUUCACAUGAGCAACAAUUAUUGGAAUAUUUCAAGGUUGUGCAAAGGAAACAACUUAUUACAAAGAUUCAAAGAUAUUCAAUUAGAUUUGUGAAAACGUAUAUAGGUCAUCUGAGUCUUCAUCAACUUCAUCUACCUCCACUUUAGCUGUUGGGCAUGCUUGAAGUAUACUAAGCAUAUGCAAUAAUAGUAAGCCAUUAGUUUAUGUAGCUUCAGUACCUCUUGAGGUGUUUGGCCAUGCUGAAACUGUUGGAUCCACUUUUUUGCUCAUUUGAUUUAUCUAAAUCUCAGGUGGGAAGUGCAUAUCUUAUCAUCAUUACUACAGGUGGGAAGUGCAUAUCUUAUCAUCAUUCCUAGAGUUGGCAAGUGCAGUUUGGGUAACGGGUCAAAACGGGUUCGAGUUGAAACUUAUAACUUUUGGUACGGGUUGAAAUGCUCAGCUGUGUUUGUGUUGGCUGCCUAACUUUUUUGUCCUCUAAUUAUUUGUGUAAUAUAAUAUAAUGAUUGCAUUGGUGGGGGUUGAAACUGGUCACAUGUUAUUUUGUAUUUAGAACUCAAUAGUUUCAUAUUUGAAUAUUAUAUUUGAGAGUGAUAGGUUUAUAUUGUGUUGGUUGGAUGAUGUAGGUGGUUGCACAACACAUGUCUAUUGAAAUUACAAAAAAGUACCUACAAGCUUUUCGUCCGUGUUUAAGGUUGCAUACUGCGGUUCAAAUGGAGAACUCCCAGUGACAGCUGGUCGCUUAGCUGGUACAAUAGUUUUGGAAAGACGUUGAGUUGUUAAAAGUUGGGUGAAGUAACCAGUAACCACACACAAACAAGUGUGAUUUUUGGCUUGCUAAUUCCAAAUUAUCAAUCUAGCUUGUAUCUAUCCAUGAUGUACUAUGUGUACGUGGUUAUUGGAACAUGCCCAAAAGCAUAAAUUUAUCAAAAGACCAAGUAGUUGAAUGGUUUAAUGAACAAAGGCAAUGGGUCAGCCUCUUUAAUUUGACGGAUACCCUAUAUUUUUCUCAAAUAUCACGUAAAUUAUCAUACAUUAUUUUAUGAUUUA